GGACACCACAACAUUUUGACGUGUAUGCAGGUCUUUAUCAAUUCUCCAGUGUCCCCUAUAUAUGACAGUGUCUCAGUGCCACAUGUCUCUCAGUGUGUGUAGUGUCCUUAGUGUCUCAGUGUCCCCUAGUCUCCCAGAGUCCCCAUGUCUUACAGUGCCGCCAAGUGUCUCAGUGUCCACUAGUAUAAAAUAAAAAAUUCUCAGGCACUCACUGUGAUAGAUUUAAGCAGGUUUAUUGGACACCUCAACGUUUUGACCUGUACCCAGGUCUUUAUCAAGUCUCCUGUGUCCCCUAUAUAUCACAGUGUCCCCAUGUCUCCCAGUGUCCCCAAGUGUCUGUGUCCUCAGGUCUCCCAGUGUUCCCUAGUAUCUGUAUCCCCAUGUCUCCCAGUGUUCUAAUGUCUCUCAAUGUCCCCUAGUGACAUGGGGACACUGGAAGACAUGGGGAUACAGACACUAAGGGACUGGGAGACAUGGGGACACAGACAUGCCCCCUUUUUGGGUAUGUUUGCCCCUUUCGGCAGUUCUAGUUAUGUGAUUUGCGUCAGUGGCCCACCCUUUUAACCUGUCCAUAGACUUCCUGCAUUACUGGACACUGCUGUUAGUGUGUAU